UUCAAAUUCUGCUGUACUUCCUUAAUUUUCCUAGAAAACUAACUAAAUUCAUUAAAGUUUUUCAGUGUGAAAACUUGCACAAAGACAAAAGGUUCUUGAAUUCGUUGCAAGUCCUCGCCGCAAACUUGACAAUGAAAGCAGCAGCCGGUGGCCGGGAGGGAAGUCAAGUGUCAAAACAAAUAUGUUUGCCGCCUGCGGUUGCCGCAGCAGUUUUCGAUUCGAGGCAGCGUCAGCGUGAUUGUGCAUUUAGUAGACUCCCAUCCAUGAAGAUUCCCGCUGCACCGCCAAUAGACUGGCUCGUAUGCACAGGCACAUGGCAAACACUUGAGCCGCACAAAAGGAGCAAAGGAGCAAAGGAGGCGGCAGGAUGCGCGCCAAAUCCUUCGCCAGCAACAUCAUCAUCAGCUGUGGCUGGCAAGCAAACCGAAAGGAGAACUCGCAACAAUUUGUUGUACUCCAAAAAAGUGCAAUAUGUUUCCACACAAAAUAAAAUUUUUUAAAUAUCCA